UGGGGACUCAUGGGAGACUGCCGGGGUCAACUCGGAGGAAGGUGGGGACGACGUCAAGUCAUCAUGCCCCUUACAUCCUGGGCUACACACGUACUACAAUGCUACGGACAAAGGGUAGCAAGACAGCGAUGUCAAGCCAAUCCCAUAAACCGUGGCUCAGUUCAGAUUGCAGGCUGCAACUCGCCUGCAUGAAGGCGGAAUCGCUAGUAAUCGCAGGUCAGCACUACUGCGGUGAAUACGUUCCCGGGCCUUGUACACACCGC
rnacentral:rRNA from 1 species